UUUCCGGUUGAUCCCGCCGGAAGCCACUGCUAUUGGGGUUCGACUAAGCCAUGCGAGUCUAUGGACUUCGGUCCAUGGCGGACGGCUCAGUAACACGUGGCUAACCUACCCUCAGGUGGGGGAUAACCUCGGGAAACUGAGGGUAAUACCCCAUAGGGGAAGAGGUCUGGAAUGAUCCUUCCUUGAAAGGACAUCCGCCUGAGGAUGGGGCUGCGUCCGUUUAGGUAGUUGGUGGGGUAAUGGCCCACCAAGCCUACGACCGGUACGGGCCUUGAGAGAGGAAGCCCGGAGAUGGGGACUGAGACACGGCCCCAGGCCUUACGGGGCGCAGCAGGCGCGAAACCUCCACAAUGCACGAAAGUGCGAUGGGGGAACCCCAAGUGCCUAUGCACAGCAUAGGCUUUUCCCAAGUGUAAACAGCUUGGGGAAUAAGGGCUGGGCAAGUCCGGCGCCAGCAGCCGCGGUAACACCGGCGGCCCGAGUGGUGGCCACUCUUAUUGGGCCUAAAGCGUCCGUAGCCGGUCCAGUAAGUCCCUGUUUAAAUCCUACGGCUCAACCGUAGGGCUGGCAGGGAUACUGCUGGACUUGAGACCGGGAGAGGACGAGGGUACUCCAGGGGUAGCGGUGAAAUGUGUUGAUCCCUGGAGGACCACCUAUGGCGAA
rnacentral:rRNA from 1 species